rnacentral:rRNA from 1 species
CCGCGCCGCAUUAGCUAGUUGGUAAGGUAACGGCUUACCAAGGCAACGAUGCGUAGCCGACCUGAGAGGGUGAUCGGCCACACUGGAACUGAGACACGGUCCAGACUCCUACGGGAGGCAGCAGUAGGGAAUCUUCCGCAAUGGGCGAAAGCCUGACGGAGCAACGCCGCGUGAGUGAUGAAGGUCUUCGGAUCGUAAAACUCUGUUAUUAGGGAAGAACAAAUGUGUAAGUAACUAUGCACGUCUUGACGGUACCUAAUCAGAAAGCCACGGCUAACUACGUGCCAGCAGCCGCGGUAAUACGUAGGUGGCAAGCGUUAUCCGGAAUUAUUGGGCGUAAAGCGCGCGUAGGCGGUUUUUUAAGUCUGAUGUGAAAGCCCACGGCUCAACCGUGGAGGGUCAUUGGAAACUGGAAAACUUGAGUGCAGAAGAGGAAAGUGGAAUUCCAUGUGUAGCGGUGAAAUGCGCAGAGAUAUGGAGGAACACCAGUGCGAAGGCGACUUUCUGGUCUGUAACUGACGCUGAUGUGCGAAAGCGUGGGGAUCAACAGAUAGAUACCCUGUAGUCCACGCCGUAAACGAUGAUGCUAGUGUAGGGGGUUUCCGCCCUAUGCUGCAGCUACGCAU